rnacentral:rRNA from 1 species
CAGUAGCCGCGGUAAUACGAAGGGUGCAAGCGUUAAUCGGAAUUACUGGGCGUAAAGCGUGCGUAGGCGGUUUGUUAAGUCUGUUGUGAAAUCCCCGGGCUCAACCUGGGAAUGGCAAUGGAUACUGGCAAGCUAGAGUGUGUCAGAGGAUGGUGGAAUUCCCGGUGUAGCGGUGAAAUGCGUAGAGAUCGGAAGGAACAUCAGUGGCGAAGGCGGCCAUCUGGGACAACACUGACGCUGAGGCACGAAAGCGUGGGGAGCAAACAGGAUUAGAUACCCGUGUAGUCCCUGUCUCUUAUAC